rnacentral:tRNA from 1 species
UGGCUCAGUGGUAGAGUGCUUGCCUUGCAUGCAUGAAGCCCUGAGUUUGAUUCCUCAG